CCUACGGGGGGCAGCAGUAGGGAAUCUUCCGCAAUGGGCGAAAGCCUGACGGAGCAACGCCGCGUGAGUGAUGAAGGUCUUCGGAUCGUAAAACUCUGUUGUUAGGGAAGAACAAAUUUGUUAGUAACUGAACAAGUCUUGACGGUACCUAACCAGAAAGCCACGGCUAACUACGUGCCAGCAGCCGCGGUAAUACGUAGGUGGCAAGCGUUAUCCGGAAUUAUUGGGCGUAAAGCGCGCGUAGGCGGUUUCUUAAGUCUGAUGUGAAAGCCCACGGCUCAACCGUGGAGGGUCAUUGGAAACUG
rnacentral:rRNA from 1 species